CUGACUACGCUCUCACGAAACUGCCGCGAAACGCAAGCCGCCCAGCACCACCGCCGCCCGGCGCAAGACGUCGCCGCCGUCCGACGCAAGAGGCCGCCUCCGCCCGGCGCAAGCCGCCCCCGCCCGGUGCAAGACGUCACCGGCGUCGACGGGCGCCUCCACGCCCGCGCCCGCUCUCCUGGGUGGCCCCUUGCUCCGACCGCCGCCGCAGGCUCUCCGCCCGACGCAAGACGCCGCCUCCGCCCGGCGCAAGACGCCACCGCCAUUGGCGGACGCCGCCGCGCUGCGCCCGCUCUCCCAGCUGCCCCCCUGCUCUGACCGCCCGGCAUAAGACGCCCCCUGCGCUCAACGCAGGCCACCGCCGCCACUCCCGGCCGGCACCCACCUCCGGUGCCCAAGCAGGCUCUCCCGACCAGCGCUGGCACCAACAAAUGCUCCUGCCCCAAAUCCGGCGAUUGCAUUGAUGGAAAAUGCAGUACCUUCUACACCUCAGCUAUGCACAACUACAGGUUGGUAGGCUUGAAGAAUAUCUUUGCCUGGUAGCUUCCCAACAUGCUCAAAGAGUAUAUUGUUUGUCUUGUUAUGGAUAGGUUAUUCUCACUGUAAUGUCCCUACGGUUAGAACUCAAUCAUGAAUUAUUGUUCUGUGAUCUGAAAGCAGUAAAGCUUAUGUUGUAGGACACAGACUGAACUUUUCUGUUUGUUGGGCAAUUGAUUAUUUCAAUUGUGUCACGCUGUGCAGCAUGCUAGAGAUGUCCCUUUCUGCUGCAUAUGCUUUUGUCCUAAUUCAGGUUUUGAAAUUGUAGCCAAAGGUUUGGGAAAAUAGCUUUUUUGCAAUUACUGCUCAUGAGCAAGUUAACGACUAUGGGACAGAUUAAUGAAUCACCUGAAGCAACAUGCUCGAGAUGCUGAUGGGCUCACUCAUUUCUUAACUCAUGCAGAUAACAAUGUUGUUGGCUAUUUCAUAAAGCAGGGUCAGACUAUUGAGGUAUAUGUCUACAAAUUCAACAAGGAUGGAAUAAUAGCUUAUGAAAUUUCUUAUUUCUUGCCUCCUGACUAAUAUUCAGAUGUUGAUCCAGUCACUUUUUUUGGGCAAAGUUAUCAAGUGACCUUGGUGCUUUGCAAUGUCAAAUGACAGAUAGCCAAAUGCACACAGUGCUCUUUUUAGGGUAGACAAUGUUAUCGGCGGCAGUAACUUAAUAGGUGCAAUGGUGUUGGAUCUACUGGCAAAGACAACCACAGGAAAAGAGAAGAAAAAAUUGAAGUGGGAUAUCUUGGUGUGUGGAAUCAACAAAGAAUGGUGAAAAGCAUGGAGAAGGCUGCAGUCAACUUGUUUACUGUUAGGUAAGAACUACCAUGUGAUUAAAACGUCCACCCAGGAAAAAGAAAGAAAGAAUCUCACUGACGUUGCUAAUUAUAACCAAUGUUUUGAUCUAAGUUUUACUAAAUCUUUUCAUUUAGCGGUAUUGGCCACUAUUUAAUCUAUGUGAAUGUUUUGUAGCCUAUAGGCAAUGUAUUUCCAUUUCCUACGGAUUUGAUUCGGUAUGUGUCACUGUGAACCAUGCGAAGAUCUUGCUUUACUGUUUAA